rnacentral:tRNA from 1 species
AUUAAAUUAGUUUAAAAAAAUAUUUGGCUUUUAUUUUAUUUAUUUAAUUAAAUUAUACUUAUAUAUAAUUAGUAUUUUUAAUAAUUAAUUUAAAAAAAAAUUUAAUAAUAUAUUUUUAUAUUUUAUAUUUAGAUUUUUUUUAGGAUAAAUCUUUUAUUUUUUAUUAAUUUUAUAAAUUUAUUUUCUUUUUUUUUAUUUAGCUUUUUUUUUACUUAAAAGAAAAUAUAUUUUAUUUUUUA